AAAUGGGAUCGCAUUUUAUUCAAAGAAACUUUUUAGAUCUUUCUUUUUUGCUUCGGCAUUUUAGGAGAUCUUGUUACUUUGAGUAAAUUAGAGUGUUCAAAGCAAACAGAUUAUAGCAUCUUUAUGCGUUUGAAUACUACAGCAUGGAAUAACAAAAUUGAACAAGUCAGAAUUUUGUUCUUUUUUCUUAUUUUGGCUUAGUUACGAUUAAUAGGAGUAGCUUGGGGGCAUUUGUAUUCAGAUGUCAGAGGUGAAAUUCUUAGAUUUUCUGGAGACAAACAACUGCGAAAGCAUUUGCCUAAAAUACUUCCAUUAAUCAAGAACGAAAGUUAAGGGAGUGAAGACGAUCAGAUACCGUCGUAAUCUUAACCAUAAACUAUGCCGACUAGGCUUUGGAUGAAAAGAGUUUAAAAAUAAGGGGCCCAUCCCCGAGGAGUUUAACCUCUUAUAUUGCAGACUAU
rnacentral:rRNA from 1 species